GGGCUGUGCAGGCGCUGCCGCCUGCGGCGCAUUGUGUAAUGGCACAGGCUUGAUGCUCUUUAGCAGGUCCGCUGGCAGCUCCUUUCGGUUCUGUGUGGCAGCAGACAACGAGUCAUGGCUUCAGCAGAACUGGUCAUCCAAAGCCAACCAUACACACCCGUUUGGCAUGACUCUAGAACCGUGCAAACUAUCGUCCGCAAAUUCGCGCAGCAGGUGAGCUGGCACAGGCUUCAAAUAACAUACCUUGAUGUUGCGGAAUGCCAGAAUCUGGUUCCGCAGCGUGUACAGCUGACCGUCCGUGAAGAUGUUGCUUGUGGCCUGAUUGCUGCUCGACGCAUCAACCGCUUGCGCUGGCGUGGAGGCAGCUGCAGCAUCGCCUUGCUGCAUGGUCCCUUCGAUGCGUGCCCAGGCAGAGCUUCAGCACUUCAGCAGCUCCCAGCAAUGCCCCCUGCUUGGCGCCAUU
rnacentral:lncRNA from 1 species